rnacentral:ncRNA from 1 species
AGUCACUUUAAUUUAAUGAAAAAAUUAAUUAAAGAUAAACUAUCAUGGAAUUUUUUAUUACAUCCAGUUAGUAGUAUUGAACAAUUUUCAAAAGAAAAAAUUCAGUUUUCUUUUUUAACAAGACGAAUUAGGUGCCAGCAGUCGCGGUCAUACCUAAUUGUUUGAUUUUUUUUAGAUAAUUUUUUUUAAAAAAUGAUUUUUUUUUAGUAAAAUAUAAAAAAUCUAUUACUUUUUUAAAAAGUACAAAAAUAAAAUUCUAUUUUAAAAACUAGGAUUAGAUACCCUAUUAUUUUAGAACACAUCUUACUAUCUAAGCACUAAAAUAUUAAUAUUAAAACUUAAAAACUAUGGCGGUAAAUCAAAUUUUUAGGGGAACUUACCAGAUAAUUGAUAACCCUCAAGUGGUCCUGCUUAAUCUAAGAGCUUAUAUAUUGCCGUUGUGAUUUCCCUUAAGGAGAAAUCAAUAAAACUUUUUUUAUAUAACAGGUCAUAGUGUAGCUAAUGUUUAAGUCAUAAGGUGAGUUACAAUAUAUAUUCUUUUCAAAUAAGAAAUUAAUAUUUUCUUUAAAGAUGGACUUAAAAGUAAUAAUAAAAUAUAUAAAUAAUGAAUUUUUUUUGAUUUGUGCACAAAUCGCCCGUCAUUCUCCUUAUUUUUUUAAAGGAGACAAGUCGUAACAUAGUAGAGGUAACUGAAGUUGUCUCUU